AUAAACUUUUUUUCGAAAGAAAAAAUCUGUUCUUAUCAGUUUAAUAUCUGAUACGUCCCCUACCCGGGGACCAUAUAUUAAAUUGAUUUUUGGAGCAGGGAGAUGGAAUAGGGGCUUGCUCCGUCCACUCCACGCAUCGACCUGGUAUUGCAGAACCUCCAGGACCGGUGCACCCCCU
rnacentral:snRNA from 1 species